GUGCUUGCUUCGGCAAGCGCGUACGCUAAAUUGGAUACGAUACAGAGAAGAUUAGCAUGGCCCCUGCGUAAGACUUUACCUCGUAAAAAUAAACGACACCCGCUGUUU
ensembl:snRNA U6 U6 spliceosomal RNA